rnacentral:rRNA from 1 species
AAACCAACAGGGAUUGCCUCAGUAGCGGCGAGUGAAGCGGCAAUAGCUCAAAUUUGAAAUCUGGCACCUUUGGUGUCCGAGUUGUAAUUUGAAGAAGGUAUCUUUGGGUUUGGCGCUUGUCUAUGUUUCUUGGAACAGGACGUCAUAGAGGGUGAGAAUCCCGUGUGAUGAGCUGCCCAAAUCCGUGUAAAGUUCCUUCGACGAGUCGAGUUGUUUGGGAAUGCAGCUCUAAGUGGGUGGUAAAUUCCAUCUAAAGCUAAAUAUUGGCGAGAGACCGAUAGCGAACAAGUACUGUGAAGGAAAGAUGAAAAGAACUUUGAAAAGAGAGUGAAAAAGUACGUGAAAUUGUUGAAAGGGAAGGGCUUGAGGUCAGACUUGGUUUUACCAGGCCAGCAUCAGUUUGGGUGGUAGGAGAAUGGCGAAGGAAUGUGGCUCGGCUUCGGUCAAGUGUUAUAGCCUUUGUUGAUACUGCCUACCUAGACUGAGGACUGCGUCUUUUGACAAGGAUGCUGGCAUAAUGGCCUUAAGCCACCCGUCUU